GUAUGUGGAUGGUGUUCAGCACCAAGGACAGGUCUGUUUGCUUGUGUAUGUGGAUGGUGUUCAGCACAAUGAUACGGUCUAUUUGCUG
rnacentral:pre_miRNA from 1 species